AUCAAGAUGGCGGGAUCAGUUUAAUUUACAUUACAAUAUUUUGUGGUUAAUAUUUUUGAAAACGUUUUAUGUCUACAUCGUGAUGGUGCCAUGUCUGGAUGUUUGGAUCUUUGGACUAUAGUCAGAAUACCAUACCAGAUUACUUUUGGAGGAAGAAGACACUAUCAAAGUAGGAGUUCACAGAGAGGAAUUUAUGCCAAGAAAAUAUAUAAAUUGUUAGAAAAAUUCAGGAUGUUUCAAAUUAAGUAAGCAAUAUCGUCAAUGUCGUUGUUAUUAGAUAUUAAAUUCAGUUAAAUUAUACAGGUUGACAAAAAAACAAAAUAUUUUGCCAAUCAGAUAAGAUCCGGUUUUUCCUAUUUUGAUGUUCUGAAAACGAAUUUGAGGGUUUGAAACAUUCUGAUUCAAGGAUUUUUCACAAAUCACUUUCAAAUGGGCAAUAUUUAAGGUUUUCUGGCAUUUUUUGGGUAACCUCAUGUCACUCAUCAAGACGUGUGAUAUGAACAGAAUUCUGAUUUUCAAAGUUUUUGACGUAAGAGACUGCGUAUCAAAGUUGAGGUACAGAUUUCCAAGCUAUAGAGUAUCAUCGUCAAUUGACUGUCAAUAGACUGUGAUCAAAAGUACCAUUAUCUCAAUGGAACUGGGUGCCUGGGUUCAUUAUUUGACAAUCAACAUCUUGUUUUCCUAUUCUCCAAUGCCAUCAAUUUUUAUUCGGUGAUAUCAUCUACGCAGGCCCAUGACAUAGGUUAUUCACCAAGAUUCAUCUAUGGGCAGGUUUCCAGAAUGAAAAACCUAGAAUUCGGUUCAAGAGGAAGGAAAUCUUACGCGACAGGGUCUCGGAUAUCCAGAAGGGGCAGGGAUUAUAGCUUGGAAAUCUGUACCUCAACCUUUCAUACGCAGUCUCUUAUAUCAAAAACUUUGAAAAUCAGAAUUCUGUUAACAUCACACAAGUCUUGAUGAGUGGCAUGUGGUUACCCAAAAAAAUGCAAGGAAACUUGAAAUAUUGCGCAUUUGAAGGUGAUUUGUGGAAUACUUUUGGGUCACAAUAUUUUUCUAACCCUGAAAUUCGUUUUCAGAACAUCAAAAUACAUAGGAAAAACGAGGUCUGAUCUAAAAGGCAAAAACUUUUGUUUUUUUGUCGGCGUGUGUUACCAAAGUACCAAUUUUCUGCUGAUAUUGUACAUUUAACGAAAAAACAACUGAUUUUCUCGUUUACAAAGCAUUAAUCAAAAUAACACUUUUGUAGUGGAACACCCUAUAUAUUAGGUCACGUUUGGAUAUAAUAAUCUUCAGGAGUACAGCGACAUAAAGUCAUCAUCAUACCGUAAGCGUAAGAUGCAGAUUCUAGAAGUCUUUUUUUAGCACAUUUACACUUGGGGCAUGUAUCUCUUCUACCCUAGGGUUUAAUCCACCCCAUCAAAACUUUGUCCCUGGACCAAUCCAAAACAGUUUUCUACAGUCGGACGCAUGCGCAUUCCGAUAUAAUGCUUACAUAAGCAGCAAAAUUCAUUAUUUCGAUUCAAAUUCGAUGGUGUUUGACCGUUAGAAACUGUUUCUAAAGCAACAGUAAAAAAGUUUAUAUCGAUAUAAACGCUUUGUUAAAUAUACAGGGUGUCCCAUUUUAAAAAGUGUAAUUUGUUUUUUCCAUUAAUGAAUAUUACCUAAUUAACCUAGGAAUUAUUAUUCUUUAGUCGGUUCUUUACGUCCAAUAAUAACGAUGUUAACAAUAGAGUUCAAUAAUUUGAAACCCAAUGAAUCUAUAAUUUAUUGUCAUUUAUGUGCAAAAUUCAUUGUAAUAUUAUAAUAUUGUUUUUUAAUUCUUAUAUGAAUAUUUCUGCCUAUAACAAUAGAACUGUGUAAAAAAUAAAUAAUUAUUCAAUU